rnacentral:rRNA from 1 species
GACGAACCGUGCGAACGUUAUUCGGAAUCAUUGGGCUUAAAGGGCGCGUAGGCGGCGGCGUAAGUUGGAAGUGAAAUCCCAUCGGCUCAACCGUGGAAUUGCUCCCAGUACUGCGUCGCUCGAGGGGGAUAGGGGUCUGCGGAACUACCGGUGGAGCGGUGAAAUGCGUAGAUAUCGGAAGGAACGCCGGUGGCGAAAGCGGCGGACUGGACCUCUUCUGACGCUGAGGCGCGAAAGCCAGGGGAGCAAACGGG